rnacentral:rRNA from 1 species
UACGUAGGGUGCAAGCGUUAAUCGGAAUUACUGGGCGUAAAGGGUGCGCAGGCGGUUUUGUAAGUCAGAUGUGAAAUCCCCGGGCUUAACCUGGGAAUUGCGUUUGAAACUGCAAGGCUAGAGUGUGGCAGAGGGGGGUGGAAUUCCAUGUGUAGCAGUGAAAUGCGUAGAGAUAUGGAAGAACAUCGAUGGCGAAGGCAACCCCCUGGGCUAACACUGACGCUCAUGCACGAAAGCGUGGGGAGCAAACAGG